rnacentral:rRNA from 1 species
UAAGUAGGUAGUGAAAUUGUGUGGCUCAACCAUACACCCAUUAUCUAAACUGCUCAGCUAGAGUAUGGGAGAGGUCACUGGAAUUUCUAGUGUAGGAGUGAAAUCCGUAGAUAUUAGAAGGAACACCGAUGGCGUAGGCAGGUGACUGGCCCAUUACUGACACUAAGGCACGAAAGCGUGGGAGCGAACGGGAUUAGAUACCCCGGUAGUCCACGCCGUAAACUAUGGAUGCUA